AAUUGACGGGGACCCGCACAAGCGGUGGAGCAUGUGGUUUAAUUCGAAGCAACGCGAAGAACCUUACCAAAUCUUGACAUCCUUUGACAACUCUAGAGAUAGAGCCUUCCCCUUCGGGGGACAAAGUGACAGGUGGUGCAUGGUUGUCGUCAGCUCGUGUCGUGAGAUGUUGGGUUAAGUCCCGCAACGAGCGCAACCCUUAAACUUAGUUGCCAGCAUUCAGUUGGGCACUCUAAGUUGACUGCCGGUGACAAACCGGAGGAAGGUGGGGAUGACGUCAAAUCAUCAUGCCCCUUAUGAUUUGGGCUACACACGUGCUACAAUGGACAAUACAAAGGGCAGCUAAACCGCGAGGUCAUGCAAAUCCCAUAAAGUUGUUCUCAGUUCGGAUUGUAGUCUGCAACUCGACUACAUGAAGCUGGAAUCGCUAGUAAUCGUAGAUCAGCAUGCUACGGUGAAUACGUUCCCGGGUCUUGUACACACCGCCCGUCACACCACGAGAGUUUGUAACACCCGAAGCCGGUGGAGUAACCAUUUAUGGAGCUAGCCGUCGAAGGUGGGACAAAUGAUUGGGGUGAAGUCGUAACAAGGUAGCCGUAUCGGAAGGUGCGGCUGGAUCACCUCCUU
rnacentral:rRNA from 1 species